GCUGGCGACGUGCUUAACACAUGCAAGUCGAACGGAAAGGCCCUGCUUUUGUGGGGUGCUCGAGUGGCGAACGGGUGAGUAACACGUGAGUAACCUGCCCUUGACUUUGGGAUAACUUCAGGAAACUGGGGCUAAUACCGGAUAGGAGCUCCUGCUGCAUGGUGGGGGUUGGAAAGUUUCGGCGGUUGGGGAUGGACUCGCGGCUUAUCAGCUUGUUGGUGGGGUAGUGGCUUACCAAGGCUUUGACGGGUAGCCGGCCUGAGAGGGUGACCAGCCACAUUGGGACUGAGAUACGGCCCAGACUCCUACGGGAGGCAGCAGUGGGGAAUAUUGCACAAUGGGCGGAAGCCUGAUGCAGCAACGCCGCGUGCGGGAUGACGGCCUUCGGGUUGUAAACCGCUUUCGCCUGUGACGAAGCGUGAGUGACGGUAAUGGGUAAAGAAGCACCGGCUAACUACGUGCCAGCAGCCGCGGUGAUACGUAGGGUGCGAGCGUUGUCCGGAUUUAUUGGGCGUAAAGGGCUCGUAGGUGGUUGAUCGCGUCGGAAGUGUAAUCUUGGGGCUUAACCCUGAGCGUGCUUUCGAUACGGGUUGACUUGAGGAAGGUAGGGGAGAAUGGAAUUCCUGGUGGAGCGGUGGAAUGCGCAGAUAUCAGGAGGAACACCAGUGGCGAAGGCGGUUCUCUGGGCCUUUCCUGACGCUGAGGAGCGAAAGCGUGGGGAGCGAACAGGCUUAGAUACCCUGGUAGUCCACGCUGUAAACGGUGGGUACUAGGUGUGGGGUCCAUUCCACGGGUUCCGUGCCGUAGCUAACGCUUUAAGUACCCCGCCUGGGGAGUACGGCCGCAAGGCUAAAACUCAAAGGAAUUGACGGGGCCCCGCACAAGCGGCGGAGCAUGCGGAUUAAUUCGAUGCAACGCGUAGAACCUUACCUGGGUUUGACAUGGAUCGGGAGUGCUCAGAGAUGGGUGUGCCUCUUUUGGGGUCGGUUCACAGGUGGUGCAUGGCUGUCGUCAGCUCGUGUCGUGAGAUGUUGGGUUAAGUCCCGCAACGAGCGCAACCCUCGUUCACUGUUGCCAGCACGUUAUGGUGGGGACUCAGUGGAGACCGCCGGGGUCAACUCGGAGGAAGGUGGGGAUGACGUCAAGUCAUCAUGCCCCUUAUGUCCAGGGCUUCACGCAUGCUACAAUGGCUGGUACAGAGAGUGGCGAGCCUGUGAGGGUGAGCGAAUCUCGGAAAGCCGGUCUCAGUUCGGAUUGGGGUCUGCAACUCGACCUCAUGAAGUCGGAGUCGCUAGUAAUCGCAGAUCAGCAACGCUGCGGUGAAUACGUUCCCGGGGCUUGUACACACCGCCCGUCAAGUCAUGAAAGUUGGUAACACCCGAAGCCGGUGGCCUAACCGUUGUGGGGGAGCCGUCGAAGGUGGGACUGGUGAUUAGGA
rnacentral:rRNA from 1 species